GCGAAUGCUGAAUUAUCGAUUCCAAAAUAACAUAGACAACCCAUCCCAUAACCGCUCUGGACAUCAUCUAAAACCAAAAUUGGCAAAAAAAUAAAUUAGGAUCUCCCAAACUAUUAUAGCCAUGCAUGGCUUAGAUUCCAACCGAAGAUCGAAUAAUAGUCUCAAAGCUAUUGACAUCUUCUGGAGCUUCAAGGUUUUGAGCAGUUGAAACUAACCCCUAACCAAAUAAAAGCAGGAACUCUCUCAAAGCAUCACAAAUCUGGCGGAAGAAGGAGAUGGCAGGGCUCUCAAUGAUUCAUUCACGCCUCACAACGGAGGCAGGAAAGGAACUUAAAGUCAGAUCAGAGAAAGAGACUUCU
rnacentral:misc_RNA from 1 species